rnacentral:rRNA from 1 species
GCCGGUGUUGACGCAAUGUGAGUUUUGCCAAGCGCUCUGCAGGCUAAAGUAGUAAUAUUUCAAAUGCGGGCGAACGGCAGGAGUAAAUAUGAUUUUCUUCAUACGACCAAAUGCUUCGAAAUCUAAUCAGUGACG